UAAUGGAUAAUGGCGACAGAGAACCGAACAUUUCAUUGAGCUGAUCUUUGUUUAUUUUCUGAGGAGAGAGACUCGGUGCUGUAACUCGGACUUUAGGGGAAUGAGUUGAGUGGAAUAAUGAACCUCCAGAUGUCUAUGUACACGUGUUUGAAUAAACUGUAGCGCAUGUGAGCUUAUCCUGUA